GCCCUUAGGUGGAGGAUACCCUCGGGAAACUGAGAAUAAUACUCCAUAGAUUUAGAAUGCUGGAAUGCUUUUAAAUUGAAAGAUUUAUCGCCUAAGGAUAAGUCUGCGGACUAUCAGGUCGUAGUUAGGGUAAAUACCUGACUAGCCUACGACGGAUACGGGUUGUGAGAGCACUAGCCCGGAGAUGAUAUCUGAGACACGAUAUCAGGCCCUACGGGGCGCAGCAGGCGCGAAAACUUCGCACUGUGCGAAAGCACGACGAGGGAAUCCCAAGUGCUGGCUCGUAAGAGUCAGCUGUUUCUUUGUCUAAAAAACAGAGAGAGUAAGAGCUGGGUAAGACGGGUGCCAGCCGCCGCGGUAAUACCUGCAGCUCAAGUGGUGGCCGCUAUUAUUGGGCCUAAAACGUCCGUAGCCGGUUCUAUAAAUGCCUGGGUAAAUCGUACGGCUUAACCGUACGAAUUCCGGGUAGACUGUUCAACUUGGGACCGGGAGAGGCUAGAGGUACUCCUGGGGUAGAGGUGAAAUUCUGUAAUCCUAGGGGGACCACCAGUGGCGAAGGCGUCUAGCUAGAACGGGUCUGACGGUGAGGGACGAAGCCCUGGGGAGCAAACGGGAUUAGAUACCCCGGUAGUCCAGGGUGUAAACGCUGCUCGCUUGAUGUUAGUCGGGCUCCGAGCCCAACUAGUGUCGGAGAGAAGUUGUUAAGCGAGCUGCCUGGGAAGUACGGUCGCAAGACUGAAACUUAAAGGAUUUGGCGGGGGAGCACCGCAACGGGUGGAGCGUGCGGUUUAAUUGGAGUCAACGCCGGA
rnacentral:rRNA from 1 species